rnacentral:rRNA from 1 species
GACGAACGCUGGCGGCGUGCUUAACACAUGCAAGUCGAACGGAAAGGCCCUGCUCUUGUGGGGUGCUCGAGUGGCGAACGGGUGAGUAACACGUGAGUAACCUGCCCUUGACUUUGGGAUAACUUCAGGAAACUGGGGCUAAUACCGGAUAGGAGCUCCUGCUGCACGGUGGGGGUUGGAAAGUUUCGGCGGUAGGGGAUGGUCUCGCGGGUUAUCAGCUUGUUGGUGGGGUAGUGGCUGACAAAGGCUUUGAAGGGUAGCCGGCCUGAGAGGGUGACCGGCCACAUUGGGACUGAGGUACGGCCCAGACUCCUACGGGAGGCAGAAGUGGGGAAUAUUGCACAAUGGGCGGGAGCCUGAUGCAGCAACGCCGCGUGCGGGAUGACGGCCUUCGGGGUGUAAACCGCUUUCGCCUGUGACGAAGCGUGAGUGACGGUAAUGGGUAAAGAAGCACCGGCUAACUACGUG